AUUGAACGCUGGCGGCAGGCCUAACACAUGCAAGUCGAGCGGAUGAAGGGAGCUUGCUCCUGGAUUCAGCGGCGGACGGGUGGGUAAUGCCUAUGAAUCUGCCUGGUAGUGGGGGAUAACGUCCGGAAACGGGCGCUAAUACCGCAUACGACCUGAGGGAGAAAGUGGGGGAUCUUCGGACGGCACGCUAUCAGAUGAGCCUAGGUCGGAUUAGCGAGUUGGUGGGGUAAAGGCCUACCAAGGCGACGAUCCGUAACUGGUCUGAGAGGAUGACCAGUCACACUGGAACUGAGACACGGUCCAGACUCCUACGGGGGGCAGCAGUGGGGAAUAUUGCACGAUGGGCGAAAGCCUGAUCCAGCCAUGCCGCGUGUGUGAUGAAGGUCUUCGGAUUGUAAAGCACUUUAAGUUGGGAGGAAGGACAGUAAGUUAAUACCUUGCUGUUUUGACGUUACCAACAGAAUAAGCACCGGCUAACUUCGUG
rnacentral:rRNA from 1 species